UACGAAGGGGGGCUAGCGUUGUUCGGAUUUACUGGGCGUAAAGCGCACGUAGGCGGAUUGUUAAGUGAGGGGUGAAAUCCCAGGGCUCAACCCUGGAACUGCCUUUCAUACUGGCAAUCUCGAGUCCGGAAGAGGUGAGUGGAACUCCUAGUGUAGAGGUGGAAUUCGUAGAUAUUAGGAAGAACACCAGUGGCGAAGGCGGCUCACUGGUCCGGUACUGACGCUGAGGUGCGAAAGCGUGGGGAGCAAACAGG
rnacentral:rRNA from 1 species